UGAAUAAAUACAGUAUGUUCUGUCCUCUUUACCUGGCUGAAUAUCCUUUUAAUUAGACAUAUUCUGCACUAUGACAUACCAAGCGUGUGUGUUGCAGGUGGCACGGCAAUCACUGCACAGGCCAGCAGUGGUACUGCAUUUGUCUACACUGCAGGUUCUGGAUGGCAUGACAGUCACCCUGGAAGAAAGAACUAGAGCAGAGCUUUUAAAUAAUGAAGCACAGGGUUCUAGUUCAGGUGGUGAAAUGACUUUACCCGGUUUGGUACCAUUGGUGGCCCGACCAGCUCCUUUAAGAGGUACAGGCAUACACACUCUCGUACCUGAUCAGCAAGAAGACACUCAUGAUACCAGCAGAUAUAAGAAGCAGAAGACAGUUGUCUCUCUCUUGCGUGGAGUUCAGAGUUACAUCAACUUCAGGCAGAUAAGAGGAUCUUCCAGCCACUACAUGACAGCGCUGCAGCAGACCGGAUAUAGAGUUCUCUCCACUUUCCCUAACACUGAUCCUGAGACCAGGUACCAGUGUCACAGUGUACCCAGACCUCCUCCUCCUCCUCCUCCUC
rnacentral:lncRNA from 1 species